CACUCCUGCGGGAGGCAGCAGUGGGGAAUUUUGGACAAUGGGCGAAAGCCUGAUCCAGCAAUGCCGCGUGCAGGAUGAAGGCCUUCGGGUUGUAAACUGCUUUUGUACGGAACGAAAAAGCUCCUUCUAAUACAGGGGGCCCAUGACGGUACCGUAAGAAUAAGCACCGGCUAACUACGUGCCAGCAGCCGCGGUAAUACGUAGGGUGCGAGCGUUAAUCGGAAUUACUGGGCGUAAAGCGUGCGCAGGCGGUUAUGUAAGACAGAUGUGAAAUCCCCGGGCUCAACCUGGGAACUGCAUUUGUGACUGCAUGGCUAGAGUACGGUAGAGGGGGAUGGAAUUCCGCGUGUAGCAGUGAAAUGCGUAGAUAUGCGGAGGAACACCGAUGGCGAAGGCAAUCCCCUGGACCUGUACUGACGCUCAUGCACGAAAGCGUGGGGAGCAAACAGGAUUAGAAACCCCUGUAGUCCCA
rnacentral:rRNA from 1 species